CUACGGGCGGCUGCAGUGGGGAAUAUUGCACAAUGGGCGCAAGCCUGAUGCAGCCAUGCCGCGUGUAUGAAGAGGGCCUUCGGGUUGUAAAGUACUUUCAGCGGGGAGGAAGGGAGUAAAGUUAAUACCUUUGCUCAUUGACGUUACCCGCAGAAGAAGCACCGGCUAACUCCGUGCCAGCGGCCGCGGUAAUACGGAGGGUGCAAGCGUUAAUCGGAAUUACUGGGCGUAAAGCGCACGCAGGCGGUUUGUUAAGUCAGAUGUGAAAGCCCCGGGCUCAACGUGGGAACGGCAUCUGAUACUGGCAAGCUUGAGUCUCGUAGAGGGGGGUAGAAUUCCAGGUGUAGCGGUGAAAUGCGUAGAGAUCUGGAGGAAUACCGGUGGCGAAGGCGGCCCCCUGGACGAAGACUGACGCUCAGGUGCGAAAGCGUGGGGAGCAAACAGGAUUAGAUACCCUAGUAGUC
rnacentral:rRNA from 1 species